rnacentral:rRNA from 1 species
GCUAACUCCGUGCCAGCAGCCGCGGUAAUACGGAGGGUGCGAGCGUUAAUCGGAAUUACUGGGCGUAAAGGGUGCGUAGGUGGUUUAAUAAGUUAUCUGUGAAAUCCCUGGGCUCAACCUGGGAAGGUCAGAUAAGACUGUUUGACUCGAGUAUGGGAGAGGGUAGUGGAAUUUCCGGUGUAGCGGUGAAAUGCGUAGAGAUCGGAAGGAACACCAGUGGCGAAGGCGGCUACCUGGCCUAAUACUGACACUGAAGCACGAAAGCGUGGGGAGCAAACAGGAUUAGAUACCCUGGUAGUCCACGCCGUAAACGAUGUCAACUAGCUGUUGGAA